UGGGGAAUUUUGGACAAUGGGGGAAACCCUGAUCCAGCCAUCCCGCGUGUGCGAUGAAGGCCUUCGGGUUGUAAAGCACUUUUGGCAGGAAAGAAACGUCGCGGGUUAAUACCCCGCGAAACUGACGGUACCUGCAGAAUAAGCACCGGCUAACUACGUGCCAGCAGCCGCGGUAAUACGUAGGGUGCAAGCGUUAAUCGGAAUUACUGGGCGUAAAGCGUGCGCAGGCGGUUCGGAAAGAAAGAUGUGAAAUCCCAGAGCUUAACUUUGGAACUGCAUUUUUAACUACCGGGCUAGAGUGUGUCAGAGGGAGGUGGAAUUCCGCGUGUAGCAGUGAAAUGCGUAGAUAUGCGGAGGAACACCGAUGGCGAAGGCAGCCUCCUGGGAUAACACUGACGCUCAUGCACGAAAGCGUGGGGAGCAAACAGGAUUAGAUACCCUGGUAGUCCACGCCCUAAAACGAUGUCAACUAGCUGUUGGGGCCUUCGGGCCUUGGUAGCGCAGCUAACGCGUGAAG
rnacentral:rRNA from 1 species